GGUGUAGUCGUAACAAGGUAACCGUAGGGGAACCUGCGGUUGGAUCACCUCCUUA
rnacentral:rRNA from 1 species